GUGAAAGUGAGGAUAAUCCUAUGUAAAGCUAUGGUAACGAGCUCAUUAGAGUGAGUAAACAGAUUGCUUUGUAUAUGGUUUGUGGUCUCUAGCUUGAGUGGAUGAUAACUGAAUAACAUUUUGAACUGUUUUGGCAAUCAAAAUAACUGAUUUCAGACAUAUUUUCUCUUGUUUAUUGAUGCUUACACAUAAUUUACAGCGAUGACACAUAAUAGUAAAUAUUUUACUAAACAGGCAGGGAAGUUAUCUGAGACAAUAAUUACACAGUUAACAUGAAUAGAGGGAAUGAGUACAGGAUCGAACAGUGACAGUGACAGUGGAUUCUCUUCAAACCUUUUCAAAGUUUGUAAGACAAAAAAUGUAUAUUUCUCCUUACUUUUCGACACAUCUUAAUGAGCAUAUCCACAUGAAUACUGAAGAAGGAUGGGAAAGAAAGAGAGGAAAAGAAAGAGAGGGAAAGGAAAAGGAGAGGAAACAGGAAAGGGUGACAUUGUUCAGUGUACAGUGUUGUAUUUAACGUAUUUUACCUCAGAAAAAUCCACUGCAGCAGCGCUCGGUUUUGUUUCUAUAUAAGUUUCUCACUCUAUAUAAAACCUGCUGUUUAAAACAGCUCUUUCCAGAAUGACUACAAUCUCAAUGCAAACAAUACAUAGUGUUUACCUCUGUUGCUAAACUAGCUAUAAAGUGAAGCAGACUGGUCUCCUGACAAAGAAAUGUCAUAUUUUCUAAUUCUAGUUCUAGUCUUUAAGAAAUGAACAACAACAUUACACAUUCAAGUUACACCUACUAAUUCAACUUUUCACAUAUUACUAAAUGACAUUGAGAGUUCAUUGUUAGGAAUACUUUAUUUAAGCAUUAAGUGGUAUUUAUAAGUGUAUUAUAUAUACUACGUAUUCCUAUAAUGUUUAUGAACUGUCUGAUUAUAGAUUUAGGACUAUAGUUGUACAAAUAAUAUUACAUAAACGUUCAACUCCAUAUUGUGGAAGCCCCAAGCUGCCAUCAAUAUACAUUUGAAUUUUGACCCUGUCUUUGCAAAGUAUCGUUUUCAGGAGAUGUCAAAUUAAUUAUAUUGUUAUAUCUUGGAAAAUAAAGUUUCGUUAUCUUGAGAUAAUGACAUCAGUCGAGAUCUUGAGAAAAUGGGAGUGUAAAAGAAAUGUAAUUUGAUGAGAUCUCACAGCUUCCAUAGCAAACACUCCUCUGUACAGCAAAUUGAAGAACAGGUAAAAAUCUUUACAAGCACAAACUAACUCUCUGAGACUGUAUGAUGUCAUAGAGUGUAUUUCAUUACUCAAUUCUAAAUUCUUAUUUAAUAUAAAAUGUAUUUUACACACCCUGUAUGGGUAGUUGGAGCCAGGGUGAUGUUUUUUGUAUGAGGAAAAAAGGCUUUACUAAGAAUUUAACAAUUUUCUCUUCAAAGUCAUGAAGGACUUAAUCAACACAACCUUCCCACCCACUCCUUUGGACUGUUUUUUUUAUAUUUUUAAAUAUGCAGCAAACUCUUUUUCAAUUCCACCAUUUUUUACACACACAGGUCGUUCUCAGCUCUUACACAUUAUGCGUAGCUUGAUUUGAACACUCUUCAGUAUUCACUCAAUUCAUUCUUUAUCGAAACUAUGCUAUUCUCCUUUACAUUUCCCUGUGAUUCUGAUCUUCAAUAACCUAACUGAACUUACUACUAAAUACAUACAACAUGUACAUUUGAUGACUUUUUUUUUUUUACUUUCAUCUCCACUAAGUUUAUAUCCACUGAGAGAAAGAGAGGUCUUCAUUAUCUAGGCUUGUAGUUUUCUCUGCAGUGGCAAACUGUGAGAGAUUUGCCUGUAAGAUCUCCACUCAAAUGACAUGAGAGGCCGAAGUAGGACAGCAUAUCCAAGGGCACUCAACCGAAUCAAAGUGGUGUGCUCCUGUUUGAUGUUGUCUCUGGAGGACAUCAAAGCUGCUCCCAGUGCAGAGCAGAGGACGGCUGCAAAGAUGUAUCUUUGAUUAUGAAUGGAGAAACCCAAUCAGAUUAUGCGCCACAUAUCUGCAACUGAAGUGACAGUCAGGCCCUCUGUGUUGGCAGACUGAACAUGUUGAUUUUGGCUGUUAAACUGUUUAAAAUGAUGAAACUGACUGGAUGCUGUGUGACAUUUAUUCCCCUAUGUAGUCAGUGCCAUCUCCUGUAAGAUGGAUCUGAUUUUUAGAUGUGUUCACAACCCACACGUCCCCCCC